UACAGAGGUCUCAAGCGUUGUUCGGAUUCAUUGGGCGUAAAGGGCGCGUAGGCGGCGGGGUCAGUCGGGUGUGAAAUCUUUCGGCUUAACCGGAAAAGGGCCUUGGAAACUGGCGGUCUCGAGGGAGGUAGGGGCCUGUGGAACUUCGGGUGGAGCGGUGAAAUGCGUUGAUAUCCGAAGGAACGCCGGUGGCGAAAGCGACGGGCUGGAUCUCUUCUGACGCUGAGGCGCGAAAGCCAGGGGAGCAAACGGG
rnacentral:rRNA from 1 species